AAAACGUUGGGUUGUUUUUUCAACCCAACUGCUGGGUUGAGCCAGUUGGGUUAUUUUGUUGGGUUGUUUUAUCAGUGUUGGGUAGUUUUUGUGUAACCCAACUUGUUGGGUUAUAUGUUGGGUAAUUUUGAAGCAGAGCCAACUUAAUAGAUACAUAUAGCUGUUUCUCAAUAUUACUUUCUCUAGUCCACAAAAUGUAUUUUAAACAUAAGUUCAGGCGAGAAUAUAUAUGUAUAAUGUUCAAAUUUGCAGUCGGUUUGUAAAGUGAACGCCAAUUUUAAAGUUUAAUUUCAAACAGUCGGAAUGUUACCGGCGCGACCACCGGGUGUCAGUGUUGUUCUUCCCCAGAGAGAACUUCUCCCUUCCCCCACACAGACACGUCAGACUCCUCCUGCCACAGCACGCUACCUGACGCGGGAAUUUAACAUCACCUCAGGAUUCAUAAACGGUUUUUCAUCGACUUCUCUUUGAUUUAUUUGAAGGAAAAGACCCUGAUGGAUAAAAGAUGGAUAUUUUCUCCUGGAGAAGCUAAAACAAUGUCACUUUGAGGUUCUGAUACCAGCUUUUACAAAGUUAUUUACAGAGUUCACAAGACUUCUCUGUGUUAUUCCCUGACCAUGCCGAAAAGCUAUUUGAAACUUGGGCACUGCAUUUUACAGACAGAAUCCUGCAACUUCCCAGCCAAGAACCAGGAGCAUCAACAAAUCACCUACAGAACCCCAUGAUGAUAUUCCAACUCAUGUCUACAAAAGUGGGAAGAAAAUCUUAAGUUUAUGUUGGGACCAACAUGGUUGCAUUCUUCUGAGAGGCUGAGGUGACAAAACCAUUCCCAUUUGUCCUUGGAUUGG